CUUGCAGUGAGGGUCCCAAAUCUGAACACAGGAUUUGAGACUGUAGCUUAGAAAUCAAUAACCCAGACUCUUCCUGUUUGAGCUAGUGGACAUUCUAAGACCAAGGUCAGUGAAGAAGAGGAGGAGGAGGUCCUCCAGGCAUGGGAACAGAGAUUCCCCUGCGGCCUGUGCUGCAGACCAUGAGCUGUUGCAUACUGCUGCUGAAGGACUAGAUGGUCUCCAGACAUCCUGUCCAGACUCAAGAAUUCUGUGUUUUUGUUGGGAAAAAAGAAAAAACAAACAAACAAACAAACAAAACCCACUAGGCAAGCCUGAGAUAUGAAGAAGAUAUAUAUAGUUAUAUUAGCAAGUAGGUGGAACUGAAGGAGGAAGAAAAUAUUAGUGCAAUAACCCUUAAAUUAUCAAGAGAAUUCUGUAAUAAAAUCUUUCUUCCCCUCCCCCAAAUGAAACCACAGUGAUUAUUCACUGGGCUAUCACAAAGGAAAACUGGUCAUAGUCUAUGUUUUGAACCCUUACUUCACCCUACUCAUA